rnacentral:rRNA from 1 species
UGCGUAGGCGGGUCUUUAAGUCAGGGGUGAAAUCCUGGAGCUCAACUCCAGAACUGCCUUUGAUACUGAAGAUCUUGAGUUCGGGAGAGGUGAGUGGAACUGCGAGUGUAGAGGUGAAAUUCGUAGAUAUUCGCAAGAACACCAGUGGCGAAGGCGGCUCACUGGCCCGAUACUGACGCUGAGGCACGAAAGCUGGGGGAGCAAACA